rnacentral:lncRNA from 10 species
CAGCCACACACAUUCCUGAGGCCCUGAAGAACCAGUUCUUGACUCUUCCAGUUUCUGGUGGCUGCAGGCAUUCCCUCACAUGGGGCUCCAUCACUUGUCUUCAAGGUUGCACUGUAGAUGGCCUUGUUACAGUGCACGGGCAUUCUGGUGAAUGACUUUGAUUACUCUGGGACGAGGUCCUGUUGCUGUGAAAAUCAGGAAAUUUCAUACACUCAAAAAGAAUCAGUUUCUGAAACGCAGAAGCCAUGUCUGUCAAGAAUACAAGGAACUUACUACUGGAAAGUAAGUCAUUCUAGAUUUGACUCACCUUUGGCCAGCACUUGGCUAGUUCUCGCUUGUUCGUCAGAUGGAAUGAUGAGAACUUCAUCCUCUUGGUCUGUUAACUCUCCUGCUCUCUGUUAUAAUGUUCAAAAGAACCUUGACCAUCUUGAUAUUCUACAAACGUCAUGUUGACCCACUAUGUUAAGGAUAGAUCUGCUAAUUCAACCAGGGAAGUAGCAGCCACCCACAUCCACAACUUAAAUGCCAUCUAUAUACUGAAGACACCUAUAUUCAAUAUUUAGAUCACUGGAGAGGAGGCAAGUCUGCUUGCAAGAUAAAGAUGGAGCAGCCAAGGAUAUAGAAAGACUGAGAGGAAAGAGUACAAGCUCAAAAGCUAGUCAAGAGAUGGGAACAUGUGCGAAAGGAAGGGGAAAUUUCAAUUGUAUUGAAUGUUGUUGCUAGGUCAAACAAAAUUAGGAAUCAGAAAAAGCUUUUUUGGAAUUUCAUAAUGUGAAGUUGUUACAAGAUAUUGCUAAUAUCAAAGCAAUGCAUUGGAGUUGUGAGGGCAAAAUGUAGAUGAAGAUUAACUGAAGAGUGAAUAAGAAAUGUGAAGGUGAAAACAUUCUAAAUCUGCUAAGAAUCCCCAAAAUAAUUUUAAAUGUUAUGAAAAAUAUGUAUUACAUUUUACAUCUUGACAUCAGGCAUAAUUUUGUCAUAUGUUAAAUAAUAAAUACUAAUCUUCAGUAUUGCUUUACCAGAAUAAUUUAUCCUUCCAGUCUUUUCUUGCCAAUUUUUGAUCUACAUAUAUCAAAUGCACAUUAACCCAUUGCUAUUUUUCUAUUUUAACAAACUCUUCAGUCUCCUACCCUGUCAUUGUGAAUCUUCUGACUAAUCAAAAAAUAAUAAUUAGCAUUUAUUGAGACAUAGUGUCUAUUUUACCUGUAAUAUUUCAUUGUAUUCUCAUAGCAAUCUAAUGGCAAAUAAAUUAUUUUUACUAUCAUUCAAUCUGAAACUCAAAGUCAUGAAAUGUGUAAGUAGGAGAAGUGUGUUUCAAAACCAUUUUUUCUGACUCAGUAUCUGUUUUUUGGACCACAGCUCUCUAUUAAAUCUUCACUGAUCAUUUCAACUACCUUCCCAUUUAAAUUCCUCAUCCCAUGAGCAUCCCAUGAAUUAGCACUUCCAAGACAUCAUGACCGUGAAGUACCCUCUAUGUCACUGCCCUCUUCCUUGCUUAGCCAUCAACCUUGCCUUACACAUCACUAGAAUCAUCUAGACCAAAAAGACAUUAAGAUUCAUAGGCAUUUGAUUUGCCAAUCGCAUUGUAAUUUUCUACUUAAAAACUCAACUAUUUGCUUCCUUGUCCUCAGUUUCAAGGGACAGGUGCACUUUUUUUUUUUUUUGGAAACUUAUAUUCAUGGCCUCUGCUUUGGGUUCUAUCCUCUCCUGUCUUAGUACUGAAAUGUUUCUGUAGGUUUAGGACAUUCCCUCUUCUACAAUUUUACUUCUCUUUCCAGUCACUCUUCUGUCUCUACAUAUAAAAAUAAAGUACUUUCCACAGUAAGUAAAAUGUAACAACAACAAAAUUCCCAAAUCUGUGCACUCCUGCAACUAUCGCACUAUGUAUUUAUUCAUGUUUAUCUCUGUAUUCUGCCUCCUUUUAUUCAAAUUUUCCUCACCCAGGCUCUUCAAUCACAUGCAAACAGGUAUCUUUCUCUCUUGGGCAGCUUUAACCAAUGGUGCCAAUAGCCAAAUGUAAUGGAAACUUCAUAUUUCUGACUUUAUUUGAUGUUUGUUGUAUCAAGUAUUAUUAAGCAUUUUCACCUUCUCUAAACUCUUUCCUCUACUGAAAUUUUGUCAUGGUUCACCUUAUAUCACUAGAAAACAUUCCUCUCUAUGUAUUUUAUGGGUUCUAAAGUUCCGUUCAAACUUAAGCACUGAAUUAAACAGAAAGCUCUUAGCUGUUAUCAAUUGUGUUAUUCCUAACAUAUAAUAGGUAUCCAAUAAAUGCUUGUUGUCCAAGGAAUAUAUGAUUACUUUCUUCGUCAUCUCUUCCCUAGGCUUACAUCAUUCUUUCCUUAUUUUUAUCUUAUUUGUUUUGUCUGCUUUUUAUCUCAAUUACAGACUCCACAUUACAUGUUCUCCCAUUCAUUUUUUAUAGGUCUCUCUUCACUCUACGUAUAUGGAUACCUAUGAGGGUUGGAACCUUUUUUCUGUUUUGGUCUUUGCUGUGUACCUAGCUCCUAGCCUGGCACAUAGUAGGCAUUCAAAAUAUAAUAAUUAAAUAAAGUAAAUACAUUAAUUAAUUAAUAAAUCAGUGUAAAACGACCUUCACAAUAUGACUUUAGCUGCCAUAAAGAAACUAUUAUAAUAUUCUCCCGAGGACUCUCCAGCUCAGUGUGUUAUUUUUCUAAUUUCAAAGCAUUUUUCAUUUGUAUCUGAUGUUGUGGAUUCUUGACACAUUCAUAUAGCCAUUUAUUGGUCACUUACUUUAUCAAUCC